AUGAUGCAGGCGGGCGGGGAGCGAAGCCAGAGGCGGCGAGGCCCGUGUGCGGGGGGCGGGGGCUCGUGCCGGGCCUGUCGCCGUCACGGUCCCUGUCACAACAACAGCCGCGGCACGGCAGGCGGGACUUCCGGCUCGCCUGUCCCACGGCAACCGCUCGAGCAGCCGCGAUUCUUCCGGCCGGGGAUCGCGGGGCGGGGCUGUUGCAUCCGGGCACGGAGUCACCUGCAGGGUGCGGAGCCGCCCGCAGGGCUCCCGGGGCACUCGAAGCCGCUCCACAGACUUCGUCGCCCAAGCAGGUUUCUGGCUGAAGCAGAGCGCGUUCCUGGAGCAGCCCACUGUUCGUUUCCGGUACGAGGCUCUCUUCGUCGCCACCAUCGGGUCCGGCCCGGGCAGCUUCUUGGCGUGGAGCACAUUCCCAGCGUUCAACAGGCUCCAGGAGGACCGGCUCCGAGUCCCGCUCCUGUCGGUAGGCUUGCCCAGGGCGGCCCGGCAACAGUGGCGAGAAGCGAGGCUGCAGAGUGGAGCCAGUGGACCGGUAGCCGGCUCAGGGCACGAGUGCUGAUGGCGCUGUUGAGCGGGUGGCCUGUCAGGCACUGCUGCCUUCAGACUAGAGAAGAAGACAAAAAUCAUGAUGGCAAAAUGGAUCAGUUGCAUUUUAAACUGGAACUUCCAUUACAACCAACAGAGCAUGUAGUUGGCGUUCAGCUGAUUCUACUCUUUUCCUACCAGCUUUAUAGAAUGUCAACAUUUGUGAUGCAGAGCAUGGCUUUUCUUCAGUUUUUUUCUCCUGUGCCAGGGUCUCAGCUGUAUGUGAAUGGAGACUUGAAAUUAAACCAGAGGCAAUUACUUAACCACUGUGGACUGGAUACCAGAUACAAUGUGUCUGUGGUCAAUGGCACAAGUCCUUUUGCAAGUGACUAUGAUCUAGCAAACAUCAUUGGAGCGUAUUGGGAUAGAAAUGUGACAACAGUCUUUUCAGAUCCCAGCCCUGUUUGGAUGACUGGAAGAGCACCAGAUAUGCCAUUUAUCGUUAAUGCCACCAUUCAUUACCCAGUGGAAGUUAUCUUAUAUCAGCCAGGAUUUUGGGAAAUUAUUAAAUUUGCCUGGAUCCAGUAUGUCAGCAUCCUCCUUAUCUUUCUUUGGGUGUUUGAUAGGAUUAAGAUGUUUUUGUUCCAGAAUCAGGUGUUGACUACAAUUCCAGUAUCACCAGUUCUGCCUGUAUCUCCAGUACUAUCCUACAAACAGCACCAGUCCUGAAGAGAUGCCUGAGAACACUUUAUAGAAUUGCCAUUCAAAAACAGUUACCUGAUUUUAUUCUCUAUACACUUCUAACUUCAGAAGAUCAGAAUUUUAUGGAGAAAACUGGAAAAAAUCCUCUACAGUAAUGUAAGCAAAGAACUAUAUACAUUAAGAGGAGGCAAUCGAAAAAGUUAUUUACUUGCAGGUGGUAUGUAAUUGCUGAAUAUGACCUGAAGCCAUCCCUCCAUUUCUUGUCAAAGAGGUGCUUCAUGACUGGGACUAAUAACUGAAUGCAGGGGAAAAGGAGCCGCAAAGGCACAUGUUACCACAGCAGGGAAAAAAACCCUGUGAUAGCUCUGCUGUGCUCACUUCCUGGAUGACUUUUUAUACUGACCGUAGUUCUUGGUCAUAGUUCUGAGCUUGAAGAGAUACUCUACUUUUGUAAGUAACCAAGCAAUAGAAAAAAAGCAAGACUUUGUAGCUUAAGCAACAAACUGAACUACACUGGAAAAAUAUAUACCUGAGAAGAGGUUUAGAGCCUCUUAAAGAGCCUUUCUCAGAAAGCUAUCUGCAAGGACUCUUCCUUCAGCUUGCAGAGCAACACAAAAAGUCAAAACCACUACCAUGCACCAUAGUGCUAUUACACAGAUCGUCUCUCUAUACAUAUGACAGAGCAAUCUAAAUGCUCGUCAUUGAGAAAGGAUACGGUGGAUCCCUAGGAUUAAUCAAGGUUCUGUAAGAAGGAAAAAGAAAGCAGCUUUAAGUUAAAAGUCCUAUCAUAAACUGACGUGCGAACAUGGCCGUGUAAGAGCCAUGCUUCGGGAGUGUUUUAAGAGGUGGAACUCGGAGAAAAUAAACCACGUCGCUGCUUUUUAACUCA